GGGGGUGUAGCUCAGGGGUAGAGGGCUUGCCUGGCAUGCACGAGGCCCUGGGUUCAAUUCCCAGCACCUCAA